CCUACGGGUGGCAGCAGUGGGGGAUAUUGCACAAUGGGGGAAACCCUGAUGCAGCGACGCCGCGUGUGGGAAGACGGUCCUCUGGAUUGUAAACCACUGUCCCCAGGGACGAAGAUGACGGUACCUGGGGAGGAAGCUCCGGCUAACUACGUGCCAGCAGCCGCGGUAAUACGUAGGGAGCGAGCGUUGUCCAGAAUUACUGGGGGUAAAGGGAGCGUAGGCGGGGAUGCAAGUUGGGUGUCAAGACUACCGGCUCAAGUGGUAGUCGCACUCAACACUGCAGCUCUUGAGUGAAGUAGAGGCAGGCGGAAUUCCUAGUGUAGCGGUGAAAUGCGUAGAGAUUAGGAAGAACACCAGUGGCGAAGGCGAUUCUCUGGACUGUAACUGACGCUGAGGCUCGAAAGCGUGGGGAGCAAACAGGAUUAGAUACCCGGGUAGUC
rnacentral:rRNA from 1 species